UACGGGAGGCAGCAGUGGGGAAUAUUGCACAAUGGGGGAAACCCUGAUGCAGCGACGCCGCGUGAGUGAAGAAGUAUUUCGGUAUGUAAAGCUCUAUCAGCAGGGAAGAUAAUGACGGUACCUGACUAAGAAGCCCCGGCUAACUACGUGCCAGCAGCCGCGGUAAU
rnacentral:rRNA from 1 species